UACAGAUUCGUACAAACAUCCUUUCUUCUCUCUUGACUACUCUUGGUGUAUUCAAGAUCUUUCUAGGUUGAUCAUCUUUGUAAUGUCUUUGUCUUCCAUUGCGAUAAUUUCUGUUCUUUAUUUCCAUAGAGAUAUCCAACUGUUCUGGCACCAUUUGUGGUAAAGACUUCUCUCUUCCUAUUUAAUUGUUUUGAUGUCUUGGCCAAAAAUUAAAUGACUGUAUAAGUCCAUCCCUUAAAGAUCCUGCAGCUGAAGUUCCAGGCCACAAUAAAGCAAACAUCACAAUAAAGCUGUUAUCAUCUCAAAUAAGUAUUUCCACAGGAAAUACAAAGCAAGAGCAAAGUUACAUGAAUUCGGGAGCACAAAAUGUUGCAAAAAUUGGAAGAAAACAGGUAAGACCAUUUCCAUUACAUUGUACGGGCUUUGGUCAAAGAUUUUUCUCUAAGUUGGAUAUAAGGGGUAAAUGUCAUGAAACAGAGAAUCAGGAAUUAAAACCCCAAAUUAUGCCUUUUCACAUGGA